rnacentral:rRNA from 1 species
AAUGAACGCUGGCGGCGUGCCUAACACAUGCAAGUCGAGCGAGAAAGUCUCUUCGGAGAUAAGUACAGCGGCGGACGGGUGAGUAACGCGUGAGAAUUUACCCUUUAGUGAAGAAUACCUCUGAGAAAUCAGGGUUAAUACUGCAUACGUCCCUACGGGGAGAAAGGUGGCCUCUUUGCUGCCGCUAAAGGAUAAGCUUGCGCACUAUUAGCUAGUUGGUGAGGUAAAGGCUCACCAAGGCGAUGAUGGUUAGCCGGCCUGAGAGGGUGUACGGCCACACUGGAACUUAGACACGGUCCAGACUCCUACGGGAGGCAGCAGUGAGGAAUAUUGCGCAAUGGGCGAAAGCCUGACGCAGCGACGCCGCGUGGAGGAUGAAGGUCUUCGGAUUGUAAACUCCUGUUAAGUGGGAAGAAAGACCUAUUUCUAAUACAGAUAGGGGAUGACGGUACCAUUAGAGAAAGCACCGGCUAACUUCGUGCCAGCAGCCGCGGUAAU